rnacentral:ncRNA from 2 species
GAUUUAUAAAGAAGAGUGGAGAGAUUAGGCUCUAUGAAACUCUGACAACCUUCCUUAUUAGAAGGAAAAGGUGCCAAUACCUAAAUCACUGUAUAAGUGAUGAUUAUAAAUU